rnacentral:lncRNA from 1 species
AGCUUUACUUCUUGAUGACUUAGUAAUGGGGUUCCCAUUGAGUUUUGUUUUUAAUCCAAGCUACACAGCAACAAGAAAGGAGAUCUUGCUUUCCUUAGGCUACCAUCUUGCUGAUUGCUAGCCCAGCAGUCCCCAACCUUUUUGGCACCAGCCAUCAUCUGUUUGUUUCAUGGCAGACAAUUUUUCCACGGACCAGGGAGGUUGGGGAGAUGGUUUCAGGAUCAAACUGUUCCACCUCAGAUCAUCAUCAGACAUUAUUAGAUUCUCAUAAGGAAGGAGCACACACAACCUAGAUCCCUCACAUGUGCAGUUCACAUUAUUAGGGUUUGCGCUCCUCUGAGAAUCUAAUACCGUCACUUGCUGAUCUGACAGGACGGGGAGCUCAGGUGGUAUUGCUCAUUCGCCUGCCCGCCCGCCUGCCUGCCGCUCACCUUCUGUUAUACAGCCUGCCAUGGACCACUACUGGUUCUGGUUUGCGGCCCAGGGGUUGGGGCCCCCUGUGCUAGGCAACUUAGAGACCUUACAGGUUUGAGGAAAAGUCACUCCCAACUAGGAACUUAUCAUUUACUAAUUAAAAAUUAUUGAUGCUGUGAAAUUAUUUACUUAGAGAUCUGGCUUACAAAUCUAGGGGUUCCUAAUGCUGUCAGAGAAUUAGAAAUUGCCCCAAAGGCAGUAUUAAGAGAACAGCCAUUUUCAGUAUUUCUUUUGAAGGGGAAGAUUACAAUUAGGAACCUUCUUUUAACCAGUUUUUUCAAAAGUUUUACAGCCCCCA